GACGAACGCUGGCGGCGUGCUUAACACAUGCAAGUCGAACGAAGUGGCGAACGGGUGAGUAACGCGUAAUCAACCUGCCCUUCAGAGGGGGACAACAGUUGGAAACGACUGCUAAUACCGCAUACUGAAGGAGGGGAUUGCGUGUGAUUAGCUAGUUUGAGGGGUAACGGCCCCCCAAGGCGAUGAUCAGUAGCCCGUCUGAGAGGGUGGACGGCCACAUUGGGACUGAGAAACGGCCCCGACGCCUACGGGAGGGAGCAGUGGGGAAACUUCCGCAAUGGACGAAAGUCUGACGGAGCAACGCCGCGUGAGUGAUGACGGGCUUCGGGUUGUAAAGCUCUGUUAAUCGGGACGCGGUACCGGAAUAGAAAGCCACGGCUAACUACGUGCCAGCAGCCGCGGUAAUAC
rnacentral:rRNA from 1 species